ensembl:lncRNA
GUGAACCUCUUUUUCCUUCUUCCCCCCCAUAAAACAGCAGGCCGGCCUCGGUCUGAGAGCCAGACAGGGGUGUGUAUAGGAAUAAAAGCUGCAGCUAGCCCUCCUAGCAACCUUUCAAUGAAACGUCAGUCCACAGCCGGGGCGGCACAAAGAAGAGAAAACCUGAGCAGGAGCCGAAACGGAGCAGCUUCAUCACCCUUUCUUCUACUCACCAUAACCUCCGCAGCUCGUCCUCACAGCCAGCCCGUGUCUCCCCGGGACAAGAAUGGGAUCGUCGUGCGCAGGCGCAGUAGAUGCAGGGAUGAUGUUGGCACUUGGAAGUCUGUCGCAUGGCAAUGCUGAAAAAAACAAAAAUCCCCGACGGUGUGCAACACAUAACACAACCUCUGGCGACAUCUGGUGGACACACGGUGGCUUCACAAACGCGCAUUGUCUUUCAGCAAAUCAAAGUUCACAGUGAUGGAUGUUGGACUGAUACGAAGCAGAUGCUCACAGUUGGUUUCAAAGGUUUCAGUCGUCAGUUUAAAGGUGGUAUUUCUUCAUCACGCUGCCGUCCAAGACUGCCGCAAAAGCCCAGAAAGUCCUUUCGUUAUCUUCAAGAGUCAGGUUUUUGAUUAUGAUGCUGAUAUUUCCU